GAUGAAGAACGUAGCGAAAUGCGAUAAGUAAUGUGAAUUGCAGAAUUCAGUGAAUCAUCGAGUCUUUGAACGCACAUUGCGCCCCCUGGUAUUCCGGGGGGCAUGCCUGUCCGAGCGUCAUUGCUGCCCUCAAGCACGGCUUGUGUGUUGGGCUUCCGUCCCUGGCAACGGGGACGGGCCCAAAAGGCAGUGGCGGCACCAUGUCUGGUCCUCGAGCGUAUGGGGCUUUGUCACCCGCUCCCGUAGGUCCAGCUGGCAGCUAGCCUCGCAACCAAUCUUUUUAACCAGGUUGACCUCGGAUAAGGUAGGGAUACCCGCUGAACUUAAGCAUAUCAAUAAGCGGAGGA
rnacentral:misc_RNA from 1 species